rnacentral:rRNA from 1 species
AUUGAACGCUGGCGGCAUGCUUUACACAUGCAAGUCGAACGGCAGCGCGGGCUUCGGCCUGGCGGCGAGUGGCGAACGGGUGAGUAAUGCAUCGGAACGUGCCCAGUAGUGGGGGAUAGCCCGGCGAAAGCCGGAUUAAUACCGCAUACGACCUGAGGGUGAAAGCGGGGGACCGAAAGGCCUCGCGCUAUUGGAGCGGCCGAUGUCGGAUUAGCUAGGUGGUGGGGUAAAGGCUUACCAAGGCGACGAUCCGUAGCUGGUCUGAGAGGACGACCAGCCACACUGGGACUGAGACACGGCCCAGACUCCUACGGGAGGCAGCAGUGGGGAAUUUUGGACAAUGGGGGCAACCCUGAUCCAGCCAUGCCGCGUGCGGGAAGAAGGCCUUCGGGUUGUAAACCGCUUUUGUUCGGGAAGAAAUCCUCUGGGCUAAUACCCCGGGGGGAUGACGGUACCGGAAGAAUAAACACCGGCUAACUACGU